AAAAACCACAGCAAUAAAACAACAAAACACAAAACCCACAGAUGAAAUAAAUAAUAAUAGCAACCAACCAACCUGCUUGGAGUAUGGCUGAGAAGGCAGAGUGUUGUUUACAUUAACAUAAGCUGCUCACUAGAUAUUAAAUUUCAGGAGCUUGAAUGAUUGGUGAGAUACCUAGGGGUCUAACUAAAAUCCUGGUAAAAGGACCUUGAUAGCUAUGCAGGGAGCUCUGAUGUAUGGUGACUGACAUGAUUGUCAGCGUUGUUGUGUGAUGUAAAGGCGGUAGGGCUUUUUACUAAGUAUUUGACCUCCUGGAGCAUGACAAGUCAUAGGCCCCUCCUCAUUCACACUUCUAACGUGUGAAAUAAGUAACGCCUGGCAAUGGUUCUGCUGCUGGGAUAUAGCAUUUCCUUAGUCUCUCGUCUGGGUCUUAGAAGGUGAGUGCAAAAGUCUUCAGAAAUGCUUUCACUGAAUAUUUACUGCCUGGAAACAUGCGCUAGGCAGGAAGAUGAAUGCGUUUCAAGAAGUGGUGGUGGUCAGAACCUUUGAAUGUGAAGAGGAGGAGGCAUUGGCUAUCUGGGAGGAAGGGGGAUCUGUUACGUUGGUUGAAAAGUAACAUAUAAAUUGAGCAGUCUGUUCAGAUGUACAGAGCAAAUGGUCACAGGGAGAGAGGGGCCAAGGAAGCUGAUCCUGAGAGGAAAAUGAAAGCAAUACUCCAGGAGAGGGUGUUGUCUGAGAAUCGUCUUGAAUCCAGAGGCCUGUAGAUGGCAAUCUUGCGCUGCAUUGGAGAAGCAAUCAUUGGAGAAGCAAUUCCCAACAUCCUGCACAGCUCCUGGAAAGAGAAAGCUUUGUUAGUCACCAGAUGAGGCUGACCAGAGAGUGUCAUACAACAGCACGGGAAACAAGUUGGAGUUGGAGCUUCUGCUGGGAAGGCCACCUGACCUGGAGCUGGGACGUCCUCACACCUAUCAGAAGUCCCAACGAUCAAAACACUGACCAGUUUAGAGAGAUAACUGGAAGCCUGGUGUUUGGAGAGAGAAAAUAGCUGAAGAUGAAGCACUGUGGGCAGUUCUGAUUACAGACAAAGCAAGAAAGGCUGUGUACUUCCAGCCCCCUAUGAUUCUAAAGAGCUCUGUUAAAUAACAGACUGCACCGUCUCCAUCAAAGAUCCAUGAAGGUGAAUGCUUCACUGCCAGAAAUACUUAUUUAUAUAUGUGUAUUCUGAACCAUAAAGAGAACUAGGGCUUAUUACAGUCUUGCUUUAAUUUUUGAACAGCUAGGUGGUGCUGCUCGAAUAUUUAGUAUGUAUUUACUGUUUAAUUUUAGUAUCAUAAUGUUAAGUCAAAGAUCAAGACUCAGAUGUAUGAGAUACAGAGAAAAUGCAAAUUUGCUGCAUGUCCCAAAUGGAUUACAAUGGAAGUAAAAGGGUACACGUUCUCUGCACUUCACCUACUUCUUCAUUCUGUUGAGCCUGAUAAAGCCACAGCUGUAUUGUUUCCAAUACUCAAAUGAACUAAUUAAAAAUUAGUAGGUUUUUUUUUGUGUGUGUAAUACUCUGUGAUGUAGUCACACGUGUGAAAGUGAUGAUGAUGGAGAGAGACCAAGAGGUGUCAGUGAGCUCGGCCAGAAUAGGAGGCAAUGAGCAGACAAAGCUGCUGAGCUGUUCUUUGAAUGGUCACAGCAAAAGGGGGUUAUAAAUAGGAUGUAAUAGGCAAUGUAAGACAGUGAAAUAGGCAAUGUAAGACACAAUGGGAGCAAGGUUUGGAGAAAUACCUCCAUUGAGCAAUGUAAGAAAUGGGUUCAUGUGUUGAUAUUAAGGCCAGUUGGAAAUUGCUUUUCUGUCUUUUUUUUUAUUUUAUUUUUUAGAAAUAAAUGAAAAAUAACAAGAACA
rnacentral:lncRNA from 1 species